CUUGGUGUUACUGCGAAGGGGGGACGGAGAAGGCUAUGUUAGCCGGGCGACGGUUGUCCCGGUUUAAGCAUGUAGGCUGGUUGUCCAGGCAAAUCCGGAUAAUCAAGGCUGAGGUGUGAUGACGAGGUACUACGGUGCUGAAGUAACAAAUGCCCUGCUUCCAGGAAAAGCCUCUAAGCAUCAGGUAACAUUAAAUCGUACCCCAAACCGACACAGGUGGUCAGGUAGAGAAUACCAAGGCGCUUGAGAGAACUC
rnacentral:rRNA from 1 species